rnacentral:rRNA from 1 species
GCCUAACACAUGCAAGUCGAACGCGAAAGGGGGGCAACUCCUGAGUAGAGUGGCGAACGGGUGAGUAAUGCAUCGGAACGUGCCUGGUAGUGGGGGAUAACCUCUCGAAAGAGAGGCUAAUACCGCAUACGACCUGAGGGUGAAAGCGGGGGACCUGAAAGGGCCUCGCGCUAUUGGAGCGGCCGAUGUCCGAUUAGCUAGUUGGUGGGGUAACGGCCCACCAAGGCUGCGAUCGGUAGCUGGUCUGAGAGGACGACCAGCCACACUGGAACUGAGACACGGUCCAGACUCCUACGGGAGGCAGCAGUGGGGAAUUUUGGACAAUGGGGGCAACCCUGAUCCAGCCAUGCCGCGUGGGUGAAGAAGGCCUUCGGGUUGUAAAGCCCUUUCGGCGGGGACGAAAUCGGUGAGGUGAACAGCCUUGCUGGAUGACGGUACCCGCAGAAGAAGCACCGGCUAACUACGUGCCAGCAGCCGCGGUAAUACGUAGGGUGCAGGCGUUAAUCGGAAUUACUGGGCGUAAAGCGUGCGCAGGCGGUUUGCUAAGACAGGUGUGAAAUCCCCGGGCUUAACCUGGGAACUGCGCUUGUUACUGGCAGGCUGGAGUGUGGCAGAGGGGGGUGGAAUUCCACGUGUAGCAGUGAAAUGCGUAGAGAUGUGGAGGAACACCGAUGGCGAAGGCAGCCCCCUGGGCUAACACUGACGCUCAUGCACGAAAGCGUGGGGAGCAAACAGGAUUAGAUACCCUGGUAGUCCACGCCCUAAACUAUGUCAACUGGUUGUCGGGGAAGCAAUUCCUUGGUAACGAAGCUAACGCGUGAAGUUGACCGCCUGGGGAGUACGGCCGCAAGGUCAAAACUCAAAGGAAUUGACGGGGACCCGCCACAAGCGGUGGAUUAUGUGGAUUAAUUCGAUGCAACGCGAAAAACCUUACCUACCCUUGACAUGUGAGGGACCUCUCAGAGAUGGGAGGGUGCCCGAAAGGGAGCCUCAACACAGGUGCUGCAUGGCUGUCGUCAGCUCGUGUCGUGAGAUGUUGGGUUAAGUCCCGCAACGAGCGCAACCCUUGCCAUUAGUUGCUACAUUUCAGGUGAGCACUCUAAUGGGACUGCCGGUGACAAACCGGAGGAAGGUGGGGAUGACGUCAAGUCCUCAUGGCCCUUAUGGGUAGGGCUUCACACGUAAUACAAUGGCCGGUACAGAGGGCAGCCAACCCGCGAGGGGGAGCUAAUCCCAGAAAGCCGGUCGUAGUCCGGAUUGCAGUCUGCAACUCGACUGCAUGAAGCCGGAAUCGCUAGUAAUCGCGGAUCAGCAUGCCGCGGUGAAUACGUUCCCGGGUCUUGUACACACCGCCCGUCACACCAUGAGAGUGGGUUUCACCAGAAGUAGUUAGCCUAACCGCAAGGAGGGCGACUACCACGGUGAGAUUCAUGACUGGGGUGAAGUCGUAACAAGGUAGCCGUAUCGGAAGGUGCGGCUGGAUCACCUCCUU